AGACAUACGCACAGUACCACGGCACCAAGAGCAGUCACACACAGAACAGCUGCAGGAUGGAAACUGGAAGUGUGGUUUUGCCCUUCUGAGGAGCUUUAGAUGUGUGAAUCCCUCAGCCAAACAAAAAAACAAUCUACUAUGUACACAGCCGCCGAGGGAAACAAACGCAACAAUAUACUGCUGUAUUGUGAGGAAUGAGACACAUCAGCCACCAAAAAUAGACAUGGCAGAACACUGCUUUGCUCACAGAGGAUGAAGGGCACCCAAUUUUUGCGGACAACACAGCCAGCGAGUGCAGGGGAGCAUGACUCAGCCUGAGCUUCAGGUGAAGCUUCGGAUAAAAGUGCACCUACGCCUUUAAGGGACACAACUAGUUAGACAAACCCGUGGCAAUAGGAUUCCAUCUAAUGUCAUUUUCUACCUAGCUUGGUUGCUUUUGUGCUGCUCACGUGCUGUGAAUUCGAUAGGCCUUGCAAAUGUUAUUAUCCUGAAUUAAAACUCUGGAAUUUUUUAACUCUUUGUUUCCUUGGCAAUACUGAAGACCUCAUGAACUGCACCUUAACGAUGCCAGCAUGCCAGAAGCUAAAUAACAAUAUUUCAUCUGCCUUUUUUCCGUCUUGAAAUCCUCCACUUGCUAAAUUGACCAAAUCCAAGGAGCUGCUGUGCUGGAUGUGCCAGCGGGCGCUGCAAAGAGCAGUGCUUGGUUUCCUCAUAAAGCACCAAGUCCCAAGAGAAGAAAAAUCACAGAAUCAUCACAGAAUCACAGAAUGGCCUGGGUUGAAAAGGACCACAAUGACCAUUGAGUUUCAACCCCCCUGCUAUGUGCAGGGUCACCAACCACCAGACCAGGCUGCCCAGAGCCACAUCCAGCCUGGCCUUGAAUGCUUCCAGGGAUGGGGCAUCCACAGCCUCCUUGGGCAACCUGUUCCAGUGCGUCACCACCCUCUGAGUGAAAAACUUCCUCCUAGUAUCUAACGUAAAUGUCCCUUGUCUCAGUUUAAAACCAUUUCCCCGUCCUAUCAAAAAAAAAUCAUUUUCCCCCAUCCUUAGCCAGUGCUAGACUCAGCACCUAGCAAGCACACAGCACACAGGAAAAGCAGCAUUCCAGUUUCCUGAGACAUUCCUGAUGGAGGUAGCAGAGGGCAGGCUUGGUCUACGCUUCCUGCUCCUUCCUAUGACUCCACCUGAUCAAAUGUUGACUUAUGAUAAAAAUUAAUCACUCCCAACAAGGGUUACCUCGCCCAUAAUUACAGAGCAGUACUUCACAUUUACACUGUGCUGUACGUCCUGGCACAUCCCUGAUUUCUUACUCUGGAGUCAAUCGUGAAGUUGUCCCAAACCAGCAACUGAGGGGAUGAAUGGCAGAGAGCGCUCAGUAUUGGCCACCAAGAGGGCUGAGAGCCCUGACCAGGGUGGCUGGGAGGCAGAGGCUGGCAGGCAGGGGCCCUCCAUGGGCUCGGUAACAAGCUUCUUAAACAGAACAACUUGGCUCAGCACACUUGUAGAGCCGAGGCUCGAAAGCACUAUUCCAUUAAUUUGGUUAAUCCCUGCGCACAGUACCCUGUGCUAAUGCCAUUUUACUUGCAAGAAGCCUGUGGCUCAAAGGUUAAGUGAUUUAAACAAAGCCCCACAGCUACCUCAGUGCAGCAGGAAGACCCGGCGCCAGCACCUGCUCCCACCCUUCCCCCAACAUCUCCCCAUCAAACCAAGCCUGUCUCUACUCAGAGCUGCUUUCUUUCAUAUGGGGGCCCACAUCCCACGGGUGACUGUGGUACAUCCCUCAGCCUCCGCAGUGCCUGAGAUGAAGUCAGGAAUCCUGCAGGGCAACAGCACUGCUUGUCUGGCACUGCCCACUGCCUGCAGGCCUCAAACAGCACACAGGGACACCAAUAUACAUUCUGUAUGUAUAAUGACCCAGCGUAACUCUGUAGUUAAUGCUGAUGUGCCUGAAAUGCCUGCACCAAUCCUGUUGGGAGCUGGGGCUGAAAAACAGCACUGCUGCCCCUUGAAACUGUCAGCUAAUGUUACUUAACAUUAUACCAGUCUUUACAGUACAAUCUUGCUGGCUCCUUACAAGUUUCUUAUGGACUGCGAUGAGAAGGGAAAGAAAACAAGAAGUAAUGUUCAUGAGCAGGGACACUAGGAAAUCCACAACAUAUGAAAUCCUUAAUAAAGCUGCCAAUGCUGCGACCACUGUGGGUCAGCUGUUCUGCUGACAGGUUAGCACUGCAGAAGCAACGGUGCAAACAGUGGGGACAUAAUGAGGAAGAGAAACUACCAUGUCAGCUUUAUUCAGCACAGCCUUGGCAUAUAAAAAGCAACUGAAUAAAUACAAAUUUUAACUGGAGGAAAUAUAUAUCUAUCUCCCCUUCUCUUUUGGGGAGGAGAACAGAAAUCCCUACAGAAAUGCUGAACGGUGCAUGCUCUGCAGGCACAGAACAAAGAGGAAAAGCGCACCUAUGGCAGCAAGGAGUUAAAAAGCUCCCCAUUGCAGUUUUUCAUAAAGCACACCACCAAACUCGGGGCAUGCCUAAGCACAUGCCAAAGCUCAGGAAUUAGUCUUUGGAAAAACCACCCUUCUUAAAGGCACAGCACAGAAGGGCAGAGGGAGAUGAGGCUGUCAGGAAAAGCAUGAAGAGUGGAAGGGAAAAGGAACCUUAUGACUCAUCAGUUCCUUUGCUACAAUAGCCACAUAAAGCUCCAUUAUCGUCAGAAAACAAAGAAUAAAGAGAAUAAAGAAAGUAUAAAACCACAUAGGAUCUAUUUACACCCUAAUCCCUCCAUCCCAUUCAUUUUGCAGCCCCUGGAGAUAAACAAACUCUCAAGGGCAGUUUCUGCCUGGCAUUUUUGAGACUGGUCAUAGGACAGCCUCGGCUUUGCUGGCUGUUUCUUUUCCUUCUGCCCUCAUCACAGCCAAGCGCUGAUUUAUAGGGCGCACCUGACCUUACUGGGCCCCCUACACCUCUAAAACACCUCCCAUGCCCUCCUGAACUGCUGCAACCACCAGUGCCUCCCUUGAGAGUGCUGGCAUUUCUGUUCUAUCAGCUGCACAGGGGCACGCACACAAGAGGUUUCUUUGUAUUUUACACUGUUAGAAAGAAGAAACGGUGGACGACAGUAUCUCCUUCCUAAGCAAGGGAGAGAAGGAAGAACCUUCUUGGCUUCUGCUACAAAGGGGUGACUUGUCCCCCUUGCCACUUCUGCAGCAACAUCUGCAAGCGUUGCUCAUCCUACAGAACUUCAGAUCCAACCUGCAGGCACUGCCUGCCUUGGAGAUACGUCAGCUUACUCCAGCUAAGGACAACCAUCACUACAAACUACAGCGGAUCAGGGCCAACGUCCUAAGCAUUCCCUUCACAGUUUGAGCAGCAAGAAUGAUCUCAGGAGACUUUUUUAGCAGAAACAGAGACCUGCAUUGUGAACAAAGGACCAUCUGAACUACAGCAAACAUCCAUGUCCUCCCACACAUUGGUCCAUGUCUGCUGAACAUUUCUUAACCUGCUCACUGACUGUCCCUACCUUGUUCCCUUGUUCCCUUCCUGUUUCUCCAUCGUCCUUUGUUGUCAUGUUGUCAUGCUUUCUUGGUUAGCUAACCCCUCAGGAAAAAUUUUAAUACAGACAGGAAGAAAAAAGGGAGACUGAAAUGGUGCUACUAACACAAUCCUUGCAAAUGAGUCUUCAGCUGGCUCAUGAAUCUAGCAGUACUUAGAUGAGCACCUUUGCUUAAAGCAUCCACGAAAUCCUUUCCCCUUUGACAGCAGAAUUUUUCAGUUUACUAAGCACAGCAACACAAUCAGUUCUUAAAAUACAGAAGAUAGCUACAUCUUUUAUCCUUGUCCUUCAGGAGACUGGAAUUAGGAGACAACGGGAACGGAAUAGGCUCACUACACCCUCUUCUAAAAUAUCAAGCUUCCCAUAAGCAGGCAGUUCCUCCAGUCAUAUUAUUCCAAAUUCCAUCUCAUAUUAUUCCAAAUUGUCUCCAUGUAAGUUUGGGGAACUAAAGGUAACAUUGCGAAGCAAAGGAGCACAAUGGUAUGCUCUCAGUUACAGGCCCUGUGCCCGUAUGGCAUUCCAUUCACAUCCCCUCCAGGUAUGAGGUGGGCUUCCAAACAGCAGACGUGCCCAUGCCAGGUUUCACUGUCGCCCACUCACCAAAUUCACAACUCACUGCAAACAGCAUACAUCAUACAAACAAUACAAACUCCAAGGCAAGCACACAACUUGACCAUUAAAUGCAGUCAGCCUUGUAAUUGUGAUUUAGAAACCGAGGUCUUCAGAGUUCUGAUCAAUAAGCAAAUCAAGUGUUUAAAAUACUUUGUGAUUUUAUUACAAGAUCAUGACAUAGUCAAAAAUUAAUCUUACAAAGUAACUGAGCUCAUAAUGCACAUGACAUUUUUUCUUCCUGAGCUCUAUGUGAAUUCUUUCCUAAAUUGCUUAUCUUGCAUAAUUUUAAUUGGAUCCCAGAACGCCAUGACCUUGAUCCAGCAGCUACAGUAUCUCAGUGCUGUCAUCUACAGUUAUAUAUGGUACAGUACCUUCCAAAUCUGUGAACCCUGGGAGAUCAGAACUGUGUGCUGUGCAGGGCUAUUUUUCUUAUACCCAAACAUUUUCUUAUUCAAGGUCUUCCAAGAGGGCUCUGAUUGCCUUGGAAGGUCACCAAGAUAAAGAUCCCACUCCGGUAACUAGAUGAGUCCCUCAUAAACUGCACUGCUGGCCAGCAAGCAGUUACAAGUGAUACCCUGGCUUCACUAUUAGCGUAUGAGAAUGUAAGCAUGGCUGGAAACACGAAGCAUGCCUUGAGAUUACUGCCACCUCCUGUGCAUAAGUCAGGAAGGUCACUCCAGCACUGAGCAAUGCAAGAGACAACACUGCAAAUUCAGAGGAUCUCUGACUCCAGUGGUACUGUGUAGCUGUUACUUUAAUGGUACUGUAGCUCUCAGGAACAAAACUCACAGCCUUGUAAAAGUCACAAAAGCCUAGCCUUCAGUACAAAGGAUUCUUACAGAAAACUGAUCUUUCUCCCUUGAGAUCACAAGAAUAUAUUUUUUAAAUGAAAAUCUGCCAGUUUUUCGAGAUAGCAGAAAAUUGUAACAUUUGGAUGUAUAUUGGGUACUAAACUUUGUACUGUUUAGUGUGGUAGAGCUUUCAUGAGGAACUUAAAAAUAGUGACCUUGUGCCUUCUUUUCAUAUACACACGCUGAAACAGUCCCUGCAGACUGAGAUACUUGGCCAUGGAAACAGCAAGGAUACAAAAGGCCUUCAUCACACAAAUGCCUGAGCCAUCAGGCUUGCUGCUAUAGGGCCAACAGCUUGGAAGCCCACACAGACUGAGAUCCCAACUCCUAAGCAGAAAGCUGGAAGUACUUAUUUCCAGCACUGCUCACAGACACUUUGCCAGAUAGCUGGGAUCCCAGUUCUGAAAGUCCUGGGACACACUCCUAGGAUGCACAGCUCCUUCAUGCAGAAAAUCCUAGGCCAAGUGGUCCUGGGCUUGCAGCCAGCAGUUGCUUCAGUCUGUUCCUGUGAAAAAUGCUUCAUUUUGGGAACCUCAAUGGAAAGAAGGAUAAACUGAAGACCUCUCAUGAUUGGAGCUGUGGCCAGCUCCACAGUCCAACCUGCGUCUCAGUUCCUUUUAAGAUAUUUUGGUCUUUGGAAAUAGUCAGGCACCAAAUGCCACCAAGCUGACAUUUUCAAGGCGAGAAUCAUCAGUUGCAGAGGGGAAGACUAGAGGAGGAUGCACAGAGCUUUGCCUCACUGAGAAACUGCAGCCUCAGCCCACCUUUACUCUUACGAAACAACAAGCUCUCUUAUGUUAGCCCAAGGCCACAAAGCUGCCUGCCAGGCUUCAGCCUGACAACACCUGAAGACCCAAAGUCUCCUCAGCAGUGCAUCCCCAAGCACCACAAUCCUGUGGGCCCAGAUGCAGGUGUCUAAAACUACAGGCCAGUGCCCUCUGCCAGGCAGCAGCACGCUGUGCAGGAUAGGCAGCACUACAAAAUGGCAGCCAGGGCCCCGGCCCACCAUGACCCUCACAGCAAGGCUGGCUGUGCAGCCCACUGGGAAGCAGCGUGUGGCUUCCUGACUGAAUGUCACCCCUUGAUCAUGUUUACUGUUGACCACAGGCAACUAACGCUUUGCCGGGCUCCUGGAAAGGGGUAUCAAGGCAAAAGCAAAGCAGCUGGGGUGGCAGCUGUGCUCACUGCUUCCAUACGUCACUCCAUUUUUGGUGGGCACAGAAAUUCCAGGCCCCUCUCCAAUGAACACCACCUUCACUACAUCUUGCUUUUGCUCUAUUCCCUGCAUCUCAGCAAUGAACUUGGAGGGCAGAAUACUGUGAUGCUUUUUUAAGUACUGCUUUUCUUGUUCCGGCCCACUCACCAUCAGGGCAACAGUCUUUGACCUGCCAGGAAGCCUCAACAGUGGCCACACAGGCUCCUCAAUCAUCUUCACCAAAUCCUCCAGAGAAAGCUCUGGCAGCUCUGCCUGCACAAAGGCUUCAGGAGCAAGCUCGCUGUCAGCAAGCCUUCAAUUUUUCCUCUUCAUCUGGUUUCUGCCACAACACACAUCCAUAAAGGUUUAGUCCCUGCUGUGGUAGUUUGGUGCUUGCAAACUGUAGGACACCAGACAGAAGAUAAAUGAAGGCAACCUUUCCCUUCUGCCUUUUCUUUUCAUUCUGAAACUCACAAAGGUCAGAUUUGGAUUUAAUUUUGUCCUGCGCAAUGUUUUGGCUUGGUUCGUAUUUAUUCCAAGUGAGUUCACCCAUUUCUUCUGUAGAAAUAAAAGGUCAUGAAACCACUGAGUUCUCUCCCUUCUAAAGGGGGCACUCCCUCCUAGCGAGCAAAUUACCAGUGAAACCAAGGAAAAAAAAAUUAAGCAAAAAAUGUGUUUUGUUCCCACUGGGCAGGUGGAACUGCAAUCACAGCUGAGUGUAAUUAGGAAAUGUGUAAGGAUGCACUUCAGAUGCCACUACUUUGCAUCAGUUUUUAAGCAGUCUGUUUAAUUUGAUUGAUGAACUCAAGGUAAGAAAAAAAAACUUUUAAUUUUUUUUUGCUUAUUUAUUGAAAAAACCACCAACGUUGUCCUUCUUUCUGCAGUAUUUAUUUGUCUAUGCAGCAAUAGGAACCACCCAGUUUUGGAGAGUGGAACCAGUUUUGGAGAGGACAGAAAAGGGAGGGUUGGAUCACUUCAUACAUAAAAUCAAUCCAUAUUAGCCCUCAGCUGAUAUGCAGGUUAAGAACUAACACAUAGGUUAAGAAGGAGAUGCACGCAUGCAUAUAUGUGUGUGUGUUACGUGUUACCUUUAUUGGUCGUUUACAGAUCAGCUUCAUUUUUUUUUUCAGUUGAAUAAUUGGAGGAAUGAGAGCAUCCAGAAUCGAACUUUUAGUUCUGGCUGACAUAAAUAGCUUUUCAAAGCCAGGUUUUUGGUUCAUUGACUUCACUUGAGUUUUCUUGCUUUGUUUAGUACAAGAAUUUACCAUGUCAUUUGAAAUGUAAACAUAUCUAAACUUAUUCUGCUGGAAUAAAACAGAGUUAUUCUGUGUUCAUUUACUGUAAUACGCUGCUUCCUUUCCAUGCUUUCAACACAAAAUCAUCUUGGUUCAAAUGUUUUAAAGAAUUUUUGGAAAGGCAAAAUGCCUUCCAAUGCUGCUUUAAGAACUCAGUAGUAAUGAAAAAAAAAGUACAGGGUUCUAAAUAUCUUAAGGAUGAAUCCUUAAUGCUGUGUAAAUGUCUUACUCUGUGAAAACAUGACAAGUACCCACUUGCAUUUAUCUACAUAAUUCCACUAUUUUAUUAAGAACUGAUAUCUCGUCAAAGUCAAAUGCUGAAACAGUUAAAGUCCCAACUCAGCUCAAAACCAACAAAUUUCUAAAGAAAUAAAAUUAAAAAAAGUAUUUGCAAGCUGAAAUCAUUAUUUUUGUGACUGAUUUUGACAAUCCUCAUUUUUUAUCUUUUGGAAUAUUAAUCAAACCUCAGUGAGGUGACCUGUCCUCUACUGAAGUAGUCUGAGUUGCAUUUGUGUGGGUUUGGGGGAAAAAAAGAAGGAAUGAAAGUUACUAUUUUUUUCUCUCUAUACUUAAAUCAGAACUAAAGGUAAUAAAUGUAAGAUUUCAGCUGUUACAUAGAUGAUGCUUUUAUUUUAGAUACAGUUAGACAGGUACAUCAGUAGAUUGAAUAUCUGUGCAUUUAUCUGCACUUUACCACUGUUUUUUACUGAGAUGGUAAAUAAAGAAAAGAAAGAAAGCUGGGAAUAACAUUUGAGAUCAUUUCUUCCUUGUAAGCUUUCCACAGGAGCUCUGGAAAAGAGAUGGGACACUCAGGGCUGCAGUGACAGCAGCAUAGUAGCCUGGAGGUCACAACUGCAAGGUGCAACUAAAAAGCUCUCUGAUAAGGGUGAAUUACUGCUGCUUGGCCUUUGCAAUUAUUAAGCUCAUUCAACAUUAGCUAGUAGCAAAUGAGGUAACAUUGGGAGUGAGAUGUGUACAUCUCAGCAGAGAAACGUAGACUGCAUAGAUAACUGGCCGUAUCUAUGAUGCAUGUCAACACAUCCUAUCAAGCUAGUUGAAACUACUGAGGAUGUUCUGGAAGUGCCUGUUCUCUACGCUGGCUCCAAAGAGAAGGUAGCGUGAAUCAUUCAGGUACAGAUAUGGUAUUCCAAGCUGUAAAUAUAUAAAAUCAGAGGAGAUGAAUUUCACUCCCAGUAUCCUACUGCCUGAUUGAUUAUGAAACAAGUGUAAAUAAUUUGGCACCCAUCUAAUGAAUGCUUCACUUCCUCGAGUACAUGCUCCAGCCUUGGAUGAAGAGACCUUUGGGAGCUAUCUUGUGUUUACAGGCUCAGUUGGUGUUUCAAAAAGGGAGAUAUUAAAUUAGGAGUGUUUCCAGGAGGGUCUGCUGUUGGGAUUGAUCAAAGGCAUCACAAGACAUAGAGAAAAAGGUCAAGUAAAUAAGCCUUCUUGGGACAGACUGGACAGAGAGGACAGCCAGUUGUGCUAAUAAAGAGCAUCUUCUGGAGAGGGAAUCAGCUGAGAUUUUUAGGGAAGAGCUAAGCUGAGCAUAACUCCUGCUUGAGGAGUGGACAAGAAUCAAACAAUAAGUGAAGAUAAUGUCAGAUUCUCCUCUUUUUAUUGAAAGAAAAGGGAAAAUAAGGGCGCAAACAAAGCUACAACUUUACUAGGAACUUCUCAUUAUACUAAUUGGGAAAGGACUGUUUUCUCUGUCCUUCUAAGCACAGCAAAUACAUCACCUUGCUGUUUCUGAUCAGGCCUGUCACGUCAAGACUUCUGCACGUGCUGGAUUUGAAGCAUGGGAUACUUCCAUUGACUCCUAUGAGACUGUACACAUCCAGGAAGUUAAAUGAAUGCACAAACAUUUACAAUGGCUGCGGCCUGCAGAUGUAAACUAAUGGGGUCCUGAAACGUUACAUAUGUGCUUCCUAUGGUCUCUGCAACAACAGACCCAGAAUCCUAAGACAUUUAAAUUAUACCACAAGUGAGAGUAAAUAAUAAAUACAGCUGUGAAAAUACGCACGCUGUUGAAAUAUCAAAUUGGAAUACAAUGCUACACUUAAAGCCAUAUGCAUCACUUAAAGUCUAGUACACUGCCAGCAAGUGAGAAGUUAUGGCUUUUGCAGUGAAAAAUAGUAAGUGGUUAUAAAAUACUGGGUUUGCAGUAGACAGGCACUGUUUUUUCAUGGAGCACUGGCACUUCAGUUAGCAAACAUUCUCUCAGGGUGCUGGUGAGUUGCCCGAGGCACUAUGUCUACUAUUGCCUUGCAUGGUGGGAACUCCAAUCAACCUGUCCAUCACAGGAAGGUUACAGAUUACACAGUGUUUUAUAAACAGUUUACAGCAGAACAAAAUGCAAAUGCUCUACUAUAAACAGAAGCCACACGCAUGUCCAAUUGUUUGUUCUGAAAUGCAGAUAUUUACAACAGCACAAGAAAAAGAAGUUUAACAAUGAACAAAUCAAACAUGGAGUGUUUGCUGCAGCUUUUAAAAAUAUGUCAGUAAAGCAUGAGGUCAGUGUUUAGUUCUGCUUGCAAUGACUGAAUCCUCCUAGCAGCAAUAUCUGGAGAUGUUUAUGGGAAAACUCGUGUUUAAUAACAGAUCAGCUGGUAAAUUACUAACUUAGUACACAGCAGAAGUGGGUACUUGUUUUUUAGAAGGCUGUGAAGUGCUGAAGCAGAAAUUUCCUAAGCACACUUGAAAUAACGUGGGCAUAGGUUAUGACCAAGUGAUACCCUGAUACUUCUCUUAGCUUUUCCAUAGGAAUUCAGAGUAAUAUCCAUACCCACACUUUUCAUGGCCUGGGAUCCAUCACAGCUGCCAGGUUGCUCUCUCUGCUAUUUGCGCCCCUAACUUUCUUCUUAAGGAAUAGGUAAAAACACCCUGGAAAUCCUUGGAAAACAGGUGCAACAUGAGGGAAAAUGAUUUAUCUCCCUUUUAUGAUAGAAUCAUAGAAUCAUAGAAUGGCCUGGGUUGAAAAGGACCACAAUGAUCAUCUGGUUUCAACCCCCCCGCUAUGUGCAGGGUCACUAACCACUAACCAGGCUGCCCAGAGCCACAUCCAGCCUGGCCUUGAAUGCCUUACCAUCUGUGUCCAGUUUACAGAUGAAGCUAAAUUCUGUUGUGGGGUACACUGACUAUGGCACAAGUUCCCAGCAGAGGUGCAGGACACAUCAUAACUAUGCUAACCUGGUAGCCUGGAAUAAGACAAGGUAACCACUAUAGAAAAAUCCAGCUACCACUGUAAUGGAGUAGCAUGGAGUAGGCAUUCCCACUGUUUAGGGCUUGAUACAAAUUCAGAAGAAAGCGUGCAUUAGUGACCAGUAAAUCAAAAUUGAAGUUUUAAAGAGCAAACCCUUUACAAAAGACUUCUUUGCUUAAAAAUCACAGAAAAGGGGAAAAAAAAACAAACAACAAAAACCUGAAGUAAUGGUAGUUUAACUCCUGCAGCUCAGUGAUAAACUAAAUAAUUAUCUGAGAGGAAAUGGGUCUCUAAAUACGAUCAGAAAGAAAACUUCUUUGCAGGAAGACACUGGUGAUUGCUUUCCAAAAGAAUUUAAAAGUUGCUUUUAAAAAAUAAAAGCUACCAUAUGUGAUGGUAAUAUCAAAGAAAAACAGAACAACCUCAAGGGCAGAUUAAGAACAUUUACUUUUCUUUCACAUAAAUACACACAUACACACACACUCCCAUACACGCUCUCCAUUAAUGACUGAUGUUUACUGACAGUUAUCUCAAGAAAUCUGUAAAAUGUCUCCCUUCCUAUCUAAAAACUCUGACCCUCAAAUGCAAACCCAAUUCUAGCACUGAUCAUUAAGGACUCUGAGAUGGCCGUGCCCAAGCACCUCUGCAGAAACAGCUGCAGCUGUUUAAGAUACUACUACUACUCAACUGCUUGGUGCUGCUUCUCACCCCACCCACACAUACAUAUAUAUAUAUAUACACAUCAAUCAUAUAUAUAGGUCAUUUGGGAAUUCCUCAUAGGC